AGGACGAACGCUGGCGGCGUGCUUAACACAUGCAAGUCGAGCGGAAAGGCCCUUCGGGGUACUCGAGCGGCGAACGGGUGAGUAACACGUGAGUAAUCUGCCCCUAGCUCUGGGAUAGCUCCGGGAAACCGGGAUUAAUACCAGAUACGACCACUUUAGACAUCUGCUGUGGUGGAAAGAAUUUCGGCUAGGGAUGAGCUCGCGGCCUAUCAGCUUGUUGGUGAGGUAACGGCUCACCAAGGCGACGACGGGUAGCCGGCCUGAGAGGGCGACCGGCCACACUGGGACUGAGACACGGCCCAGACUCCUACGGGAGGCAGCAGUGGGGAAUAUUGCGCAAUGGGCGAAAGCCUGACGCAGCGACGCCGCGUGGGGGAUGAAGGCCUUCGGGUUGUAAACCCUUUCAGCAGGGACGAAGCGAAAGUGACGGUACCUGCAGAAGAAGCGCCGGCUAACUACGUGCCAGCAGCCG
rnacentral:rRNA from 1 species